CUGGACUCACAGUUUGAGGGAGUGUUGUCUGCUGUGGAAGGUAAGGUAUCACAGCAGGCUUCAUGAUGAACAAGAGUGUAUGGCUGAGACUCCUCACUUCCUCACAGCUUGGUGAAACAGAAUUUAGAAAAGGAACAGGAAAUGAAUGGGGCCAGGACAUAAAACCUCAAACUACCCCAACCCACCCGGUGACCCACUUCCUGCAGCAAGGGCUCAUCUUCUAAAACUUCCAGAACCUUCCAAAAAUAGCACAAACAUGGGGGAUUAAGUGUUCAAACACAUAAGCUGACUUUCAAACCACAACAAGAAUAAACAAAACUGCCCUUUAGCCUAUGAACCUAUAGCCAUACCUCCAUGUGUGCCUCUUAGGAUCUCCCAUCAGUCUUACCUGCGGUCCUUCCCAUAGCUGCAUGCCAAAUUUGUCAGCAAUCCCUCCCAAGAUGGCAGAUGACAAAGAGACUGAGGUACUUCCAAAGGAAGCCACUGAAGGAAGCUGUGUCUGCCAGAUUGCAAAGACAUUUCUAGGCCGCAUGCCUUUGUAAUGUGUUGCAAAUCACAAGUGAGCCCAUGCUGCCUACUGUUGUGUGGUGGAGGGGGAUCAAGUUGGAAAUUCGAGGAAGUACUUCAAAGUCUGGCCUGAAUAAUCUUCCAUGCCUAAAUUUAAAGAUGUAAGCUGUCCUUGCAGAAUAUAAUUCCCUAUUCAUGCUCAUUUAUCAAACCUUUGUCUUUAUAUAUAAAAACAUUUAGUUUUACAGAAAUUUUGAGCCCCAAAAUAUGGGUCAGGUCGCUGGAAGUUUUACCUUCCCUUUUAAUGUUUUUCUUCUAGGCAUUUCAUCCCAUCCCAGUUACUCCCUCCUCUGCCAGAACCUCUCUCUGGGGCCACCACAAAUAAGUUUCUAGGUCCUUUUGAGAGAUGAAUCUAUUUUGAAAACACAUGGCAAGUCAGUCAAGACUCCAGAGCUGUUAGCAUUCACACAACCAAAGGGUUUUCAAGGUCAGUUUCAUCAGUUUAUGCAGAUGAGAUGACCUAUAGUGACAUGAAAGCCACAAUGGAGUUACACAAAGCGUGGUUCUCAGAACUCCUGUUUCUGGAAUUACCUGGGGAGCCCGUAAGCAUGCCAAACCUGGGUUCUGAUGCCGGAGAGUAUCAGGGCUGAAGCUUUUAGUCCCCCUGUGAGCUACAGGCUCAUUUGGAUGGCAGACAGCCUGUAGCUUAUUCCCUGCAGAUUCCUGCAUCAUCCCCUACGUGCAGAACAACACUCCCUGGGGGCACUGAGGGGAUGGGAGAGGUACUGAGUGUUGAUCAACACGGAUGCUUCUCUUACAUUGUCUGGGAACCUUCUAUGCAGACUUGCUUCCCAGCCAAGGGACACUUAGAUUUUUAUCUUGCCUGGAAGUCAGUCCUGGGGCAGCUUGGCCAUGAAGAUUGGUACUUCUUCUAAAGAAUUCCCCAACAAAUUGCCAUUCUUUGUCAACCUUUAAGCCUUCUCUGAGAACAGAGGACAUUCUCAGCCUCCCAUGAUUUAAGUAAUCAACCAGGUCUACAAAAAGACAGUACCAGGAGGCAAUAUGGUCUAUGUACAGAUUUCCUAUCUGAGACUCACAGUGGUGUAUCGGAUUACCCUGUGUGCUUCCAUUGUCUCCUCUGGAAAAUGGGACUUAAUCAGUCUUUCUCUUAGUUUAUUAUAAUAAUUGAAUGGAACAAUGCCCACCAAAUUCUCUUAAGUCUGGAAUGUCAGUAAACAGAGCUGUGUCUGGCACUCACGGUGUCUUUAUGCUAGUAGAAAAAGUUAUCUACCCUCGGGUAGACAAUGUCAGAAGAUGCCUCUUUAACUGGGAUGGCUCAGCAUGGUAUUUCUGCUGAUGUCUUUCAGAAGCUGCGUGCCUGCCCAGCUAGCACCCUUUGGGCUGGGCAUUUUUUACAAAACUGAAGCUGAGGCUCAGUCAAUAUCUGUUAGUACAGCAAUGAGGUUGGGAAAGAAACCCGAUGCUGAGAGAGUUCCCCAAAUCUUUUACCUCCUCCACACACUCAUCAGGAUUCUCCCCAUCUACAGGCCCAGACAGAAUCACACCCUCCAAGUAGCAGGUCAGAGAGACUCAGUACCAUGGUGCUUGCUCAGCAAAUGCCCAUCUUGAAAAGAAAAAAAAAAGAAAGAAAGAAAGAGAGAGAGAGAGAGAGAGAGAGAGAGAGAGAGAGAGAGAAAGAAAGAAAGAAAGAAAGAAGGAAGGAAAGAAAGGAAGAAAAGAGAAAGAGAAAAGAGUGAGAACAGAGAAUAAAAGCAUAAUGUCAAUGUGAGCUUUUCAGAGCUUUUUACCAGCUGAUCACACUUCCUGUUUCUCUGAGGGCUUCCCUGACAGGCAACUUGCUUCCUAUUUGGUCAUUGCCCUCUCACCUUCCUGGGUGAGUCAGCGCAGUUGACCCCCAACACACUUCAAGCUUCUGGGCUCCCGUGUGUGCUCUGCCCAUUUCCUGGUCUUCCCAGGUAAUCCCCCUGCACAGAGAAGUCGCCCCGCCCCAACCACAGCCCACAGCCCACACCCCUCUGCCUCUGCGACAGCCCUGCAUGCACUGGGGACGUGAGUCAGGGCAUUUAACCAUUCUCUCCUUCUGAUGCUAUUAUUGGAAUGCCUAUUCACUCAGUUACACGCCUGCUUCCCGUAUUUCGCAGGCCAGGGCUCCAGGAGCUGCUAGCCACGCACUGCUUGGUCCGAGAUGCCACUUGGAUGAUCACAUGCUGGUUGCUCAGAAGAGUGUGUGCUUCCAAGAAAGCAGUGAUGACCGAGGCUGCAGAGUCACAAGCUGUUUCUCCAUUUAAGGUCCAAACUGAGAAGACUGGACAAAAGCUGAGCCAGAUGGAGGACACUGAUAUAAGGCAGGACCACUUAUCUGUCACUCCUGUCUGGCCACAUAGAGUAAGCCAGCUCUGGAUGUAUUUUACAAUUCACCUUCAUUCUACCAGUAACAGAGAGAGGCUCCAUGAGGCCUUGUUCCUUCAGACAUAAGCAGCUAUAUGAUGACAAAUGGACUGUGAAUGCUGAUAACUGAAAUGAUACCAAGUCACAGCCUCCCAAUGAAGUGAGAAGUUAAGAUUGAAACAUUUGGAUUUCUAGAGCUCCGGGACCACCUUGUCAGAUCACAAAUCAAGGGUUAAUCUCUGCAGCAAAUGAUAUUUAGAUUCUACUAUAUUUAUCUUGGAACGCUAGGACGUAAGCCCACGGAAGGUGGAUACUAACCUUUCUCAACCGCCAUACUGUCUGGGCACCAGUUAUGAGGAAAAGUGAAAGUUAGAAUUAUGUUCUUCAAUUAAAGAAGAUCUCAGAAGAUGGAAAGAUCUCCCAUGCUCAUGGAUUGGCAGGAUCAACAUUGUAAAAAU
rnacentral:lncRNA from 1 species